CCCCCCCCCCCCCUUCCCGUUUUUACCCAAACCUAGCCACCGCCUACCACCGACGUCGGCCUUCUUUCUCUUUCAACAGCCGUUAUUUUUUCCCCGGUUCGUUCAGUGCACCAACCGGUCGUGUCUCCAGCCACACGUCGAGGAUCGCCCAGCCGGUUCGAGUCGCCCACUUUUGCGCGCACCGUUCGCGGAUCUGAAGCUGAUGCGGGUUUCUGUCGCAGCCAUCUCCCUCCGUUUGGCGUUCGCAGGAUAGCAUCGCCCAAGCCCUUCAGCCCGUGCAGCUCCGUUUUUGCCGCUGCGCCCAGCCACAAGUCGACGCACACGACCGCCAGCUUCCGAUUCGGUGCAGCCACUCGUUUCAGUCGGCAUUGGAUUGGGUUCCGUCGUCGUUACCGGUCAGUCACCAUUGAAUUCGCCGACCGCCACUGCCUAUUCUUGAAAAAUCUUGAGUUGGGUAAGUUUUGAUUGGCUAAUUAAAUCGAGUUUUGGAAUUUGUCUUGGACCAAGCCAUAACUCUAGGUUGAUUUAAGUGUGCUAAAGAAGUUUUAAGGAGAUUUUGUUUUGCAUUUUUGCCAAGUUGAGGUAAGUGGUAGUCUUUGUGCCAGGCGGCCUAGUCUAGAAUUAUAAAGUUAAUCAAUGGACUCUUGAAGCAUGAUUUUGUCAUUAUGUUUUACUUGUUGCAUGACCGUUAUGAGUAUUAUGAGCAUGUUCGAAUUUUUAAUCAGAAAAGAAUGCAUAGCAUUCUGAGAUGCCCAAGAUAAAAGGAACGAGGGGAAGAAUCUACGAGGAAUCCAUAACAUCAAAUCGUGAAUCAAAAAGCGUGACGAGAAUUCUCAACCCGAGAUGUUAGAAGGUGCAAAAUCAAUGGGUGUCGGAGCUGCUACAAUUGCUUCAGCGGGAGGGUCUAGUUUCAUGUUUGACGGUGUGCCUACGGGCCGCUAGACAUGCGUGAGCCGACAGGUUUACGUUUCAUGUUAUUUUUCAUGUUUGAUAGUGUGCCUACGGGCCGCUAGACAUACGUGAGCUGACAGAUUUACGUUCAUGUUAUUUUUUUUUCAUGUUUCAUGUUUGACGGUAUGCCUACGAGCCGCUAGACAUGUGUGAGCCGAUAGGUUACGUUCAUGUUAUUUUUCAUGUUUGACGGCGAGCCUACGGGUCGCUACACAUGCGUGAGCCGACAUGUUUACGUUCAUAUUAUUUCCAUGUUUGAUGGUGUGCUACCGGCCGCUAGACAUGCGUGAGUUGACAGGUUUACGUUCAUGUUAUUUUCAUCUUUGACGGUGUGCCUAUGGGCCACUAGACAUGUGUAUCAAGGCAAGACAGUAUGUCUUUUGGUUUUCCUUUCAUCACAAAAAACCGAUGUAGUUGUAUGAGCCAUGUUAUUUUCAUCUCAGACGACUAACAAGAGGAAUCCGUGACAAUGCCAAAAGAACUAAA